GUGCUUGCUUUGGUAGCACAUCUACUAAAAUUGGAAUGAUACAGAGAUUAGCAUGACCCCUGUGCAAGGAUGACAUGCAAAUUUGUGAAGUGGUCUAUAUUUUU